rnacentral:lncRNA from 1 species
UAUAAAUUGGACCCCAACUCAAUUAUCUUAUCUUACUUGGGGAAUGCCGGUUAGAUAAUUACCUCCCACAGUUUCAAUUUUAGUCUCCAGAAUAAAACUUAAUAAAACUUACUUUAGUUCUAUAGAAUCAGGACUGUUAGAUAUAGUUAAUCAGUAUCAGUAACUCAGUUAUCAGAAAUCUCAGAUUAUCAGUUACUUAGUAUCAGAACUCAGUACUUAGCUUUAGAAAAUCUCAGUUACAGUAAAUAUAUAUGUACAGUAUUGCAUGCUUAGUAUUUAUAGUAGUUUAGAUUAUCCACGUACUCACAUGCUCAGUUUCUCUAUAUCAUUUAGUCAGUUAUUGUUUAUGCAUAUGAACCUUUGCAUUUAGCCUCACCUCAUCUAG